CAAUUUUUGGAAAUCCGGAAUCUACCGAAGUAGCCCACCAUUCGCUGAAUCUUUCAUCGGCCUGUCCUGAAGAAUAUAUGCCGUAUACAUAUUAUACGUAUGGCUUCAGGGCGAUGAUCGAUUUUGUUUUUUAUGGAACAUCUAAUAUGAGACCAAUAGGAUUCUAUGGUCCUAUACAUGAUCAGUGGUUCCAUGAUAACAUAAUAGUGGGCUGUCCUAAUCGGUACAUCCCAUCGGAUCACUUUCCACUGGUGGUGCAUUUCAAGAUGGUAACUUGAAGAGUCAGUCAUCGAUUACGUGGUUGUAAAAGGUACUACAUCUUACUCUUUUUCGUCGGCUGCACAUCGGUCCUAAUACACUGAGAGACAAAUUUAUUCGCCUGGAAUAAAGACGCGUACUAAAAUUUUUUCCAAAGUACCACUACGGGCGUGUUCAGAAACACACUCUAGAAGAGAAAUAUUCAACUCUUGCACGGAGAGAAGAAAAUGGUAAUAAUUACGAUGCUACAUGGCAACUAGUCCUAUUUUUUAAAGCAUAGGAAUCGAUACUAUGUAAUAUGGGAAUAAUUACCAUUCUUCUGUUAAUAUUUACUAUGCUACAUAAUAAUCAAGCUACUGGUAAAUAUUACUUUGUAGCAUAGUAAUCAAAGCCAUGCUAGAAUAAUAUUAAGUCCCAUGCUGUAUAGCGUGGAUGCAGUUUGAGUAUGAAGCGCUGCUAUAAAGUAUAUACGUCCAAUAUAAUCUGUACAUAUAUUAAUCUUAAUUACUACUUAUAUCAAUGAAUAUCAUUUUAAUGAACAUUAUCAAUCAUACGAAACUCAAGUAUUAUUUGAAAAGUAUCAUUGUCUAUUAUAUUCUGAUUUAAAAUGUUAUUCUACCACACGUAUCGUCACUGCUGCAGACGGAAAAAUUUAUAUUCCAAAGCGCUGGA